rnacentral:lncRNA from 1 species
GUUAAGAGUAGAAGAAGUAACAUAAUUCAUAACAGAAUUGUGAGAAAAAUAUUAUUGAAGUGAAGAAAUUGUUAUUACACUUGAAUAGAAAGAGAUAACAAGUGAACUAUUUAAACUACAUAGGUGCUGUAUGUUAACUACUGUGUGUACUAGCACACUUAAUCACACUUAUGCAGUGAGUUAAAAACUAAUAGACUAAAUAAUAGUUUCCUUGUUUUUAUCUUCAUUUUCUUCAAUUCUCAACAGCCUUCCACAAGCUGGAGCUUGGUAAAUAUCUAUGAAGCCAAGCUUGGACACAAGAUUAUUGAACUUUGAAGUUGAUAAAGCUUUAGUAAGAA